GCCACAGGCGCAGAUGUGGAAUUCUAGAAACCAACAUCUAAUCUAAUAGGAAUCGCACUCAAACUCAACACAUCGAAACCCGCACUUCCGGCUGGUCGCCAGCCUCACUGUCCUGCCUUCAUCUCAGGAAAUGGUGCCUCAACCACCCAGACCCUGCUUUCCUGUUUCAAGCACCCUGGCCUCUGUGGGGACCAAGCUGUGGGAGAGCUCCUCACACCUGCUCACAGUCCUCCUCCCGUACUGCCAUGGCACGCGAGGAAAAUCGUCUCCGCAAUGCCCUAGCUUCUGGACUUCUGCUCAGUCCCCGAAUGCCCAGCUGGUUCCUGCCUCAGGGGCUGCACACAAGCUGUCCCCCAACCCCCCUAUCUCCGCGUGGUGGCCCCUCUUCCCACACUGCUCAGAUCAAACACCAUCUGUUGGGCCAACCUGUCUGAAUUCACGCCCACGGAAAUCUACCGAAUCUGCCGGUCCCCCCGCCGUCCCCGCUGGCGGGCCGCGCGUCGGGACCGGGGUCCGGUGCGGAGAGCCCUUCGUCCCGGGAGUCGGGGCGCGGCCGGAAAGGGGGCCGCCCCCUCGCCCGUCACGCAACGCACGUUCGUGGGGAACCUGGCGCUAAACCAUCCGUAGA